UGGAAACUAUGGAAUAAACUUGAAAACGUUGAACCCCAACACGCACAACAGGACCCCCAAUGCUCGACAACAAUGAACCCUCUUCAUCAGUGGGCUUAAUGUGUGUGAAUGCCUUUGCACAGUGAUGCGAUCAAAGGGAAAUCCCGGACUCUGGCUUGAAAUCUAUAUUUUAUAUUAUACCUAUACUUUCAAAUAACAUCGAGGUGGUGUCACUGUGGCACACAGCCCGUGGCAAAAAGGUCUUUCUGCCUGUCAAAUCCAGCCACUUUCACUUAGCCGACGCCAAUGGCUUUGAUAGAUUCCAGUUCACAGUGGGCCGCCAGGUAGCCAUUCAUCCAUCUACCACCCCAGUCAACUUACCAACGAGAACUCUGAGAGGAGACAGAGGUUGUUAGCUGACUUUUGGGGGGCACUGUGUAGCAGGGCUGUUCAUGCGGUUCACUGACAUGGCCAUCUGAGGAGCUGGAGCGAUGGGGCG